GAUAGAAGAAUGACAAAUCAGAUUUUUUCUUCUGAUAUUCAGCUUUUUCUCUUGAAAAAUUUAAAUCCAACUAAAAAUGCUAAAAAUCAGGAGAAAAAUUUGAUUUGUCAUUCUCCUAUU
rfam:Gossypium hirsutum cultivar TM-1 chromosome 3, whole genome shotgun sequence